rnacentral:tRNA from 1 species
GGUCCCGUAGCUUAACUGAAUAGAGCAUCUGACUACGGAUCAGAAGGUUGUGGGUUUGAAUCCCGCCGGGAUCA